GUGGGGAAUAUUGGACAAUGGGCGAAAGCCUGAUCCAGCCAUGCCGCGUGUGUGAAGAAGGUCUUCGGAUUGUAAAGCACUUUAAGUUGGGAGGAAGGGCAGUAAGUUAAUACCUUGCUGUUUUGACGUUACCGACAGAAUAAGCACCGGCUAACUUCGUGCCAGCAGCCGCGGUAAUACGAAGGGUGCAAGCGUUAAUCGGAAUUACUGGGCGUAAAGCGCGCGUAGGUGGUUUUGUAAGUUGGAGGUGAAAUCCCCGGGCUCAACCUGGGAACUGCCUCCAAAACUGCAUGACUAGAGUACGGUAGAGGGUAGUGGAAUUUCCUGUGUAGCGGUUAAAUGCGUAGAUAUAGGAAGGAACACCAGUGGCGAAGGCGACUACCUGGACUGAUACUGACACUGAGGUGCGAAAGCGUGGGGAGCAAACAGGAUUAGAUACCCGUGUAGUCC
rnacentral:rRNA from 1 species